rnacentral:rRNA from 1 species
GACGAACGCUGGCGGCGUGCUUAACACAUGCAAGUCGAGCGGAAAGGCCACUUCGGUGGUACUCGAGCGGCGAACGGGUGAGUAACACGUGAGUAAUCUGCCCUUGGCUUUGGGAUAGCCACCGGAAACGGUGAUUAAUACCGGAUAUGACCACUCUAGGCAUCUAGUGGGGGUGGAAAGUUUUUCGGCCAGGGAUGUGCUCGCGGCCUAUCAGCUUGAUGGUGAGGUAAUGGCUCACCAUGGCUUCGACGGGUAGCCGGCCUGAGAGGGUGACCGGUCACACUGGGACUGAGACACGGCCCAGACUCCUACGGGAGGCAGCAGUGGGGAAUAUUGGACAAUGGGCGGAAGCCUGAUCCAGCAACGCCGCGUGAGGGAUGACGGCCUUCGGGUUGUAAACCUCUUUCGGUAGGGACGAAGCGUGAGUGACGGUACCUACUAAAGAAGCACCGGCCAACUACGUGCCAGCAGCCGCCGUAACAC